rnacentral:rRNA from 1 species
UCCGUAGGUGAACCUGCGGAGGGAUCAUUACCGAGUUUACAACUCCCAAACCCCUGUGAACAUACCUUAAUGUUGCCUCGGCGGAUCAGCCCGCGCCCCGUAAAACGGGACGGCCCGCCAGAGGACCCAAACUCUAAUGUUUCUUAUUGUAACUUCUGAGUAAAACAAACAAAUAAAUCAAAACUUUCAACAACGGAUCUCUUGGUUCUGGCAUCGAUGAAGAACGCAGCAAAAUGCGAUAAGUAAUGUGAAUUGCAGAAUUCAGUGAAUCAUCGAAUCUUUGAACGCACAUUGCGCCCGCUGGUAUUCCGGCGGGCAUGCCUGUUCGAGCGUCAUUUCAACCCUCAAGCCCCCGGGUUUGGUGUUGGGGAUCGGCUCUGCCUUCUGGCGGUGCCGCCCCCGAAAUACAUUGGCGGUCUCGCUGCAGCCUCCAUUGCGUAGUAGCUAACACCUCGCAACUGGAACGCGGCGCGGCCAUGCCGUAAAACCCCAACUUCUGAAUGUUGACCUCGGAUCAGGUA